GUAUGUGUGUGCUUAUGUU
rnacentral:piRNA from 1 species